CUGCUCUGUGUCGACAUUUAAGGAGUGUCCAAACACAGUGAAGUGGGUGUAUGAUGGUAAUGAUCAGGAUGUGAACACUCAGCACAUGAAGGAGUCACAGUCUUCUUGUUCUGCUACUGCGGAGUUUACAACUUCUCAUCUUACUGAGUUAUUCAAAUGUAGAGUGACAAAUGUUUACACUGGAAAAGUGCAGCUAUUUACCUUCAGCCCUCCAUCUUCAGGUGAAGACCCAAAAAGAGCUGCAACAACAAAAUCAACAACUGUAACAACAGUGGGAAAAAGCACAGAAGCAAAUACGAACCAAACACCAUCUACAAUCACUGAUACUCCAUCAAAUCCAGGUGAAGACCCAAAAAGAGCUGCAACAACAAAAUCAACAACUGUAACAACAGUGGGGAAAAGCACAGAAGCAAAUACGAA